rnacentral:rRNA from 1 species
GAUGAACGCUGGCGGCGUGCCUAACACAUGCAAGUCGAACGGAGCUGCUUUGAUGAAGUUUUCGGAUGGAUUUAAAACAGCUUAGUGGCGGACGGGUGAGUAACGCGUGGGUAACCUGCCUCACACUGGGGGAUAACAGUUAGAAAUAGCUGCUAAUACCGCAUAAGCGCACGGUUCCGCAUGGAACAGUGUGAAAAACUCCGGUGGUGUGAGAUGGACCCGCGUCUGAUUAGCCAGUUGGCGGGGUAACGGCCCACCAAAGCGACGAUCAGUAGCCGGCCUGAGAGGGUGAACGGCCACAUUGGGACUGAGACACGGCCCAAACUCCUACGGGAGGCAGCAGUGGGGAAUAUUGCACAAUGGGGGAAACCCUGAUGCAGCGACGCCGCGUGAGUGAAGAAGUAUUUCGGUAUGUAAAGCUCUAUCAGCAGGGAAGAAAGUGACGGUACCUGAAUAAGAAGCCCCGGCUAACUACGUGCCAGCAGCCGCGGUAAUACGUAGGGGGCAAGCGUUAUCCGGAUUUACUGGGUGUAAAGGGAGCGUAGACGGCAAGGCAAGUCUGAAGUGAAAGCCCGGUGCUUAACGCCGGGACUGCUUUGGAAACUGUUUGGCUGGAGUGCCGGAGAGGUAAGCGGAAUUCCUAGUGUAGCGGUGAAAUGCGUAGAUAUUAGGAAGAACACCAGUGGCGAAGGCGGCUUACUGGACGGUAACUGACGUUGAGGCUCGAAAGCGUGGGGAGCAAACAGGAUUAGAUCCCCUGGUAGUCCACGCCGUAAACGAU